rnacentral:rRNA from 1 species
CGCGGUGCAUUAGCUAGAUGGUAAGGUAACGGCUUACCAUGGCCAUGAUGCAUAGCCGACCUGAGAGGGUGAUCGGCCACAUUGGGACUGAGACACGGCCCAAACUCCUACGGGAGGCAGCAGUAGGGAAUCUUCCGCGAUGGACGCAAGUCUGACGGAGCAACGCCGCGUGUGUGAAGAAGGUCUUCGGAUCGUAAAGCACUGUUGUUAGAGAAGAACACCCGGUAGAGUAACUGCUACCGGACUGACGGUAUCUAACCAGAAAGCCACGGCUAACUACGUGCCAGCAGCCGCGGUAAUACGUAGGUGGCAAGCGUUGUCCGGAUUUAUUGGGCGUAAAGGGAGCGCAGGUGGUGACUUAAGUCUGAUGUGAAAGCCCACGGCUCAACCGUGGAGGGUCAUUGGAAACUGGGUCACUUGAGUACAGAAGAGGAAAGUGGAAUUCCAUGUGUAGCGGUGAAAUGCGUAGAUAUAUGGAGGAACACCAGUGGCGAAGGCGACUUUCUGGUCUGUGACUGACGCUGAGGCGCGAAAGCGUGGGGAGCAAACAGGAUUAGGUACCCUGGUAGUCCACGCCGUAAACGAUGAUUACUGGGUGUAGGGGGUAUCGACUCCCUCUGUGCCGAAGCUAACGCGAUAAGUAAUCCACCUGGGGAGUACGGCCGCAAGGCUAAAACUCAAAGGAAUUGACGGGGGCCCGCACAAGCAGCGGAGCAUGUGGUUUAAUUCGAAGCAACGCGAAGAACCUUACCAGGUCUUGACAUCCAGUUAAAGCUGUAGAGAUACAGUGUGCCUUCGGGCGAACUGAGACAGGUGGUGCAUGGUUGUCGUCAGCUCGUGUCGUGAGAUGUUGGGUUAAGUCCCGCAACGAGCGCAACCCUUGCUGAUAGUUACUAACGAGUGAAGUUGAGGACUCUAUCGGGACCGCCGGGGACAACUCGGAGGAAGGUGGGGACGACGUCAAAUCAUCAUGCCCCUUAUGACCUGGGCUACACACGUGCUACAAUGGCCGAGACAGAGGGAAGCGAAGGCGCGAGCCGGAGCGGAUCCCAAAAAAGCGGUCACAGUUCGGAUUGUGGGCUGCAACCCGCCCACAUGAAGCAGGAGUUGCUAGUAAUCGCGAAUCAGCAUGUCGCGGUGAAUACGUUCCCGGGCCUUGUACACACCGCCCGUCA